CCUACGGGAGGCUGCAGUGAGGAAUAUUGGUCAAUGGACGGAAGUCUGAACCAGCCAUGCCGCGUGCAGGAAGACGGCUCUAUGAGUUGUAAACUGCUUUUGUACAAGGGUAAACCUGAAUACGUGUAUUCGGCUGAAAGUACUGUACGAAUAAGGAUCGGCUAACUCCGUGCCAGCAGCCGCGGUAAUACGGAGGAUCCAAGCGUUAUCCGGAUUUAUUGGGUUUAAAGAGUGCGUAGGCGGAUUGAUAAGUUAGAGGUGAAAUGUCCGAGCUUAACUCGGGAACUGCCUCUAAUACUGUUGAUCUAGAGAGUAGAUGCGGUAGGCGGAAUGUAUGGUGUAGCGGUGAAAUGCUUAGAGAUCAUACAGAACACCGAUUGCGAAGGCAGCUUACCAAUCUAUAUCUGACGUUGAGGCACGAAAGCGUGGGGAGCAAACAGGAUUAGAUACCCCUGUAGUC
rnacentral:rRNA from 1 species